CAGCAAGCCAUUGAAUUGCAAUCACAGAAAAACGGUCAAGUACUCGGAAACAUGAGCUAGAACAAACACCCCAACGCUUGGCACCGCUGGCAGAUGGAAGAUAAAUCAAAAGUUUAGCGGAAGAAACUCAUCAAUAAAUGGACCAUCAGUGGAAUGGCCAAGACUCGUUGAACCUUUUGUGUGAAAAUUGUUGUGACAUUUUCUUCAUUUCGUCUCAGAAUUGUGCAAACAAACAAUGGAGACUCGAGUGCAUUGAAAGAACCAAACAAACCAAAUAGAAAUAGAAAACCCAACGAAAUAUCUCAACUCGCAUCUCGCUAAACUGAUUCUGUGGUUAAAAUAAAAACAAUACCGUAUUGUUAACCUCUGCGUAGCCCCACACUUUAUGAGCUGCUCCCGCGUAAAAACCCAAAAAUUGCGAAUAAUGCGAAUCACGUGGC
rnacentral:lncRNA from 1 species